rnacentral:rRNA from 1 species
CCUACGGGAGACAGCAGUGGGGAAUAUUGCACAAUGGGGGGAACCCUGAUGCAGCGACGCCGCGUGGGUGAAGGAGUAUUUCGGUAUGUAAAGCCCUAUCAGCAGGGAAGAACAAUGACGGUACCUGACUAAGAAGCACCGGCUAAAGACGUGCCAGCAGCCGCGGUAAUACGUAGGGUGCAAGCGUUAUCCGGAUUUACUGGGUGUAAAGGGAGCGCAGGCGGCGCGUUAAGCCUGGUGUGAAAGCCCGCGGCCCAACCGCGGGACUGCAUUGGGAACUGGCGCGCUGGAGUGCCGGAGGGGUAGGCGGAAUUCCUAGUGUAGCGGUGAAAUGCGUAGAUAUUAGGAGGAACACCAGUGGCGAAGGCGGCUUACUGGACUGUAACUGACGUUGAGGCUCGAAAGCGUGGGGAGCAAACAGGAUUAGAUACCCUGGUAGUC